GACAGAGGGUGCAACGUUGUUCGGAAUUACUGGGCGUAAAGGGCGCGUAGGCGGUGCUCUAAAGUUAGAUGUGAAACUCUGGGCUCAACCCAGAGCCUGCAUCUAAAACUGGAGUGCUAGAGUUCUGGAGGGGGUAGCGGAAUUCCCGGUGUAGCGGUGAAAUGCGUAGAUAUCGGGAAGGAACACCUGUGGCGAAAGCGGCUCUCUGGACCACAACUGACGCUGA
rnacentral:rRNA from 1 species